AAGUCGUAACAAGGUUUCCGUAGGUGAACCUGCGGAAGGAUCAUUAACACUAUUUUACAAAACAAACGAAAGGGUUUUGAACUUGAGCAAUCUCGUUUCUAAACUCUUUUUUUGUUUUUCCAAACCAAAUACCCAAACUUUUGAAAGUGCUGGUUGAUUUACAUGUAAAAUGUAAAUCACUUUUUCACUUUUCUUUCUUAUUAAUUAACCCCAAACUCUUUCAUUGCUAAUGCAAAUGACAAUAACAAAAAACUAAAAUAACUACUUUAACGUAACCAAACAACUCUUAGCAACGGAUAUCUUGGCUCUU
rnacentral:misc_RNA from 1 species